GACAUUAGCUUCUAGUAUUUUCGACCGCGUCUUCGGACGCUUGUGUUCAGUUCGCUUCCGGACGGCAGCAGUCGUGGUUGUGAAGUUUUCUUUGAAGAAGGUGCUUUUCGUCCCAGGCGGCGAAAGGAAGGCGUUUAUUGGAGCGUUUUUUUCGUCUUGAGUGAGGCAUCGACGGCUUGUGUUGUUUUAGGGAAGUGAUUCUUCUCCAAGAAAAGUAAGAAAGCCACAGGCAAAAAUGUCUAACUACGUGAACGACAUGUGGCCCGGCUCCCCGCAGAAGGAUUCCCCUUCCACGUCCGGAUCGGGCCAGUCCUGCCGGCUGUCUUCCUCGCGGUCCAGUAGUCGCUUGUCUUCCAGAAGCGCUCGGUCCGGUUCCCGCGUCUCGAGUCGGUCGUCGUCCCGGAGCCGAAGCCGGCCCCGGAGAAGGAGCAGGUCAAGGUCUCGUUGCAGGAGGCGCCACCAGCGGACAUACAGACGCUACUCGAGGUCUUACUCGCGGAGCCGGUCGCUAUCCCGCAGCCGCCGGCACAGGGAAAGGCACCGCGGGUCCUCCCGGAGGUGUUACGGGUCUCCCUUGCGGUACCGAUCCCGCAGCAGGUCCCGCUCCCGGGGGAGGUCGUGUUAUAGAAGGGCCUACGCGGUCGCGCGGGGGCGACGAUGCUACGGCUUUGGUCGCAGGGUGUACCCGGAAGAAUACGGAAGUAGGAGGGCGAGAUCCAGGACUAGGUCGCGGAGCAGAAGUCCCUUUCGCUUAAGUGAAAAAGAGCGAAUGGAGCUGUUAGAAAUAGCAAAAGCCAAUGCUGCAAAAGCUUUAGGAACAGCCCAUCUUGACUUACCAGCCAGUCUCAGAACUGCUUCUGUAACUAAAGAAAAAAAUUGUGAAACAGCUUCACCAAAUGAUGGUGCAGAGUUCAAGAAAUCUUGAAUGUGGUCUCCAGACAUUGAUGAAGAAAAUCUGUUGGUAAUUGAUACAUGGUGAAAGCAUCAGAGGUUUAAAUGAUUUAAAGUUUAAAUUCAGACACUGACAGCUUAGUUUUUGUUUCAUAGAUCAUAUGCAUGCUAGAAUUUGAGAAUAGGUAUUAAAAACAGUUUUAAACUAACCAAAGGUAUACAGUAAGGGUGGGGCAUCUGUGAAUAUAGAUGUCCCUUUCAUAAUAUAUGCAAUAUGUUCCAGAUGUUUUGAGAGAUUACAGAAGAAGAGGCCUGUUUCACUUGCAGAUAAGUUUAUUAUAAUUUUCUAGCAAUGUGCAGGAUGUGCACUGGCAAGUGUACUUUUAAAUUAUCAUUUGAAAUCCAAAGCUUAAAAAUUCAUAGUCUUACAGGAUUUAAAGUAGUUAGGAGUUGAUAUUCAUAGUUGGAUCUGAUUUUAUGUUUAACUUUAAGGACUUUUUUUUUUUUAAAGUAGCAAAUCAUUAAAGUGUCUGAAUAAAAAAGUAAAAGAAUUAGUUAAUGUGAAACAGGCAAAAUAUGCUCUCUAGAUGAACCUACCACUGUGACCCAUAUGUAGGUUUGCUUAGUGUGGUGGUGAAAUUCAGUGCUGACUAGUAUUAGUAGACAUUCUUAGUUGAGUUGCUUAUUCAGCUGAUGAUUAGUUCAACUUAGAUGCUCAAACUAGCAAAUGCCUUUUAUGUUUGAAGAAAUAAAUUAGAAGCUAGGUGUUUUCUGGUAUGUCUUUACUUUUAAAAGUUAGUAGAAUUUCAACAGGCCUUAAUGAAGCCUAUCAUUAAAUAAGCUUUAUUAAGGGGAAGGUUCAACAGAAUAUUUUAUUUAGGCUGCCAACUAUAUAAUUAGGUACAACUUACUUUAUAUCUACAACUGAAUUUCUAUACUAUUGGGCUGCAUUGACUUUAAGUCAGUAGUUUGUUUUUUAAAAUUUACUCUCCUUAUCUGUCUAGUUGUUGGAAAAACUUACAGAAGAUGGAACUAAAAAUCGCAAUGAAAAAUCUUCCCAGCAAAGAAGCAUAGCUUUCAGUGCUUAUAAUUCUGUAGCAAAGCCAAUAUUUCAGAAAUCGGCUAAAGCUACUGUCGAAGAUACUUCUUCAGGA